rnacentral:rRNA from 1 species
UGUUGAUGUGUAUUUUAUAUAAAUACAUGUCUUUAGCGGUAUAUCCGCAUAAAGUUCUAGAUAGAACACUGAUAAUGACUAUUUUCUAUCUAUAAGUCUUGACCAAAUCACGUGCCAGCAGUCGCGGUAACACGUGGAAGACUAGUGUUAUUCAUCUUUAACAGGUUUAAAGGGUACCUAGACGGUAUAUCUAGCCUUAGCUAUGAGGUACGGAUUUAACUAGAGUUUGAUGUAAGAGGAUAUUGUCAGUAUAUACAGAGUAGAGAUAAAAUUCUUUGAUACUGUACAGCACUGAUAACGGUGAAAACGACCCUUUAUGUAAAAACUGACGUUGAGGGACGAAGGCUUGGGUAGCAAACAGGAUUAGAUACCCUAAUAGUCCAUGCAGAAAAUGAUGAGUGCCAUAGAUUAGAACCAUUUUGAUCUAUAAAUGAAAGUGUAAGCAUUCCACCUUAAGAGUAGUGUGGCAACACAGGAACUGAAAUCAUUAGACCGUUUCUGAAACCAGUAGUGAAGUAUGUUGUUUAAUUCGAUGAUCCGCGAAAAACCUUACCACAACUUGAAUAUUAUAGCAAUAAAUAGGUUUAUUUUACCUGGCUAUCUAUACAGGUGUUGCACGGCUGUCUUUAGUUAAUGUCGUGAGAUGCAGGUUAGCUCCAUUAAAUUAACGUAAACCCUUACUUUAUUUUUUUUAUA